AAAUUGCAUUUAAAGCCUUUUUCGGCUGAUCAAGUGUUUAAUUUGGUUUAUUCAUUGGCAUGUGGUUUUUAUUAUGAAUGUGCAAGAAACUGGCAGCACCAGUGAUUUAUAUACGAUUAACAAGGUAUCUCCGAUCGUUUUGUACUGAUGAGUUUGCAUCAUAAAAUUUAUUUUUAAACGAGAUAAUGGAAAACUGCGCUAAAAACAAUGCACGUCAGCUGAUCAAGAGGCCAUUUUGAACCAGAAUCAUAACAGCACUUUUGUCAUUUUAGGGUGGUGAAUGUAUUUCAGACCACAUUUACUAUAAAAGUUUCUAUUAAGUUACUUUUAAGGGUCUAGUCAGCCGUCAAAAAGGGACUCCUUGAAACAUGUCGAAGCUGCCAACAGAAUUGAACCCGCUCUUGCCGCCGGCUUACUCCCAAGUUGAUCCAUACAGUUUCAGUGAUCACAGCCGUACGAACCAUUCCUAUAAAGAAAAAACACUAAGAUGCAUGGCUGUCUUGCAUAUCGUCGUGGGAGUGUUAUGUUUUGUCUUCGGCUUCUGUUUUGCCUUCAAAACAAACCAUGACUACCCGCCCAUGCCAAUCGUACUUGACCCAUACAGUGCGAGGUACUGGGUGGGAGUAAUUGCCGGAUCUUUGUUCAUCAUCACCGGGAUCUUUGGAGUGAUAGCCAGA